CCACCCUCAGGCCUCCCUCCUCACGGGGGAAGGGCCUGGUGUUGGGGAUCUACGGGCCCUUUUCUGGCGCUCGUAGUCUCCUAAAUUAAUCGGCGUGCGCGCUGUACGUUGCCCCCUGCGUAGUAGUGAUUUCUCGCAUCGGGCCGUAGCGCUGUCCAGCCGCUAAACUGCAACUACGCAUUUAGCUAG
rnacentral:misc_RNA from 1 species